ACAACCCCCACCCUCCAAAAAAAAAAAAAAGAAAAAAAGCCCUCAGCAUAUCCUCUCAAUGAUGUUGAAUGAAGCAAUUUGGAGGUUCAAAAUUCUUGAAAAAGUCUGUGGAAAAGCAGAAAACUGUUGGCUACUCCUUUUUUUAUCACCAGUGUAACCAGAAGCAUUGGAACUUCCCUAUUAAGUGAUAGAGCCUUCCAUGGUGUCUCCCCAUGAUAAUAAAAGACUGUUUACUUCAUCUUUUUAGCCAUCUCCUUGUAAAUGCAAAAGCUCAAAAUAUAUGGGUGACAUGAGUCAAAAGGGACCUAAGACAAGGAGACUCCCUUUCCCCCUUCCUUUUUACCCUCCUUGGUGAAGCUUUCAGCAGAUUAGUUUACUUCUCUAUGGAGAAAAAAGCUCUUAAAGGUUGGGGGAUUGGUAGAAACAAGGUGGCUAUCUCCCAUCUUCAGUAUGCUGAUGAUACUCUUGUUUUUU